UUUUGUAACGUUGGCCACUCCGUAGGAAACCAUCUUGAAUCCUCGUCCCGUGCGUAACAAGAAUGAAAAUUGAGCUCGAGGAACAAGUGUAUUUGUCAGAGAACAGUUUGCUGAAGUUUUUAGUAGCUGGAAGGAACGCACGAUUUUGGGUGAAUUAUAUAUACCAAGACAGAAGUUAAAGUGAAUUUCACACCAAAUAAAUUUGAUGACUAUUAUAGCAUGUCGUCGAAAACAUACCAAUACAUAUUAAAUGCUACUGAUGAAGCAAUGUAAAAGCAGAGUCAUUUCCGAGACUCUUUCAUCAUCAGAACGGUUAACGGUGGCAUUGAGUAUACAUCACUUCGCGCGACUGAAAAUAAAACCUGUUUCGAAAGAUGAGCGUUGUCAAGGACACACGCAGGGAAUAUGCGUGCAGUGUGACCGCAGCCUGAUCCGGAAUAAACAGUUGGUUCUAGAAGACAUUACAACGAACAGAACAGUCGAGGAUUAUAUCCAGCCUACAUUCUUUUUUCUGUAUCUAAAAAAAUUAGUUUUGUGAAAUCACAAGGCUCCUCCAUAACAACUUGGCACCAAAUUAAGUGAAAAUUAUGAAAUUUGUACCACAAGUUGCA